rnacentral:lncRNA from 1 species
GGAAUGUGUAUGCACUGUGGGACUUGAGGCUGGACUUUGAGAAGGACCACUGUGCUCCUCCACAUUCCACUAGCCUGGCUCUUCACCAAGGACCAAACCCAGGAGAUGGACCAGGAAGACAGUGCAGAGUGAGAGGGACGGGAAGAAAGAGGAUCCUCACUUGGCUCUGUGACACCUCCUCCACCUGUGACUCUCACUGUUAUUCAGGGAAUCACAUGAUGUCAAGAGGG